UCCAUGGCCGACCCCGAGCAUCCCGACUGACUACGGCGGUCGUACUCAAAGGGUUAAGAGGUGGGGGAGAGUUGCCAGCCGCGGUAUUCCUUUCACCUCUUUUGUGUGAGAGAAUAAGUGGCAAUGUUUGAGUUCUUCCACUUGAGGUUGGUUCAGCAAGGAUCAGAGGACGUCAACAUAACCAUUUGGGUACCUUGGAAACGAUGUACAAUGGAAAAAAUCAUUGCGCGGAAGUACUCCCAAUAGAACGAAGUUAGAGCUACGUGGCAGCUGUGGGGAAGAACGCCUACACGCCUGACUCCACCACCCCUCCCCCACCAGGAAAACCCACCGCUCCUCCCUCACUCACCAAGGUUGCGUGCGCUUCUGUAGCCGACCCGUGCCGCCCACCUCCGGCCUCGGCCCCGCCUCUGCUGUUCCCACGUCACUUCCCCUUCUUUUUUUCAUUCGCUUGGUUCAUCGAACGUUUAGUAUAUAGUGUUCCAUUCCUCCUUCUUCGUUGCUUCAUUACGCCGAAGACAUUUUUCGUAAGAUUCAAGUAGUACCUUCUAUGCAUGUUAAGAGCGAAGGCGGUAGAUGCUUGCGUAGCCUUAAUUUAUCUUUCUAGACAAGACUAACUUACAGGAGAGGCCACGCUCGCAACUACCUUAACAGAACUACAUAAGUGGCGGCUCUCUGUAGCUACAAUGGACUCUCGCGCUGUAGAGCGAAGUAGUUCACCAUGUAGUCUUUCUUCUCUGACGGCGCGUAUAGCGAUUGCUUGUGUUGGUUUGGGCUACAGGCCAGCGUGGAUGGAGAGUGGCGGCGAGUAGUAUCGUGAGUUCAUGCAACCUCGAUAACGUGGACGCUUUUGACAUGCAUAGGAGAUAAUGCUUGCAUUGGCUGAACGGAUAAUGUGAAGAAUUCAUUUUCCUUGCUACUAUUCUCCUUACUGACUCUGAGCGCAAUACAUACAUUUUAUUCGUAUAAUUAAUCGGGACUAUGAUGUCGCCGUUGGUAUGUGAGGCUCAAGCAAAUGCAUCAUCAGUAUGUCAUUAAUAGAUGUGAUGAUAAUGUGCCAUACUAAUCUUGAUAACAAUUGCUAGGUUAUGUAAGACGUUUAAGGGUAGAUUAUAAAGUAAAUCUUCUUUCGCCUCCACUCAUUAUAAUCUCUAAGAAAUUUCAGUCAUUUAUUUAUUUUACGCAAUUUUUUUUAGGGGGAAAAUGGAAUGUUUAAUAGUAUGUCUUAGGUCUUAACAUCAUUUUAUUGUUCUAGAAUAGAUAUGUGAUGUACUGGAAAGGAGACGAUUUGAUAUAAUGACACAGUAUAUACGUAUUCUCGGCACUAAAAAUGUGUGCUGAAUAUGUUGUCGGAUGUGAAGGACUGGCUGACUUGUUGGCUGUCUGACCAUGUAUGUGUAAUGAAUGCACAUUACGCCAG